rnacentral:lncRNA from 1 species
GAACAGAGAGGAAGAACCCCAAACAGGCAGUAACAACCCCCAACAGGCAGAAACAACCCCGAACAGAGAGUAACGACCCUGAACAGAGAGGAACAACCCCGAACAGAGAGGAACAACCCCGAACAGGCAGGAACAACCCCGAACAGAGAGGAACAACCCCGAACAGACAGUAACAACCCGGAACAGAGAGUAACAACCCCGAAGAGAGAGGAACAACCCCGAAGAGAGAGGAACAACAAAGAACAGAGAGGAACAACCCGAACAGGCAGGAACAACACCGAACAGGUAGUAACAACCCCGAACAGGCAGGAACAACCCCAAACAGAGAGUAACAAUCUGGAACAGGCAGAAACAACCCCGAACAGGCAGGAACAACCCUGAACAGGCAGGAACAACCCCAAACAGAGAGUAACAACCCCAAACAGGCAGGAACAACUCCGAACAGAGAGGAACAACACCAAACAGGCAGUAACAACCCCAAACAGAGGGAAACAACCCUGAACAGACAGUAAUAACCCCGAACAGGCAGUAACAACCCAGAACAGGCAGUAACAAUCCCGAAGAGAAAGG